AGGUUCACGGCGAUGUCGAGGGCGUUCCACUGUCCUCCAUCUCCGUUGAAGACGGCCAUGAGCCGAACGUGUGACGCCGGAUGUACGCGCGCCCGUUCUGGACAUGGCCGUUGGCGUUUCCGGGGCCCGAUGGCCCCGGGACGCAAGUU
rnacentral:sRNA from 1 species